CAAUCAGCUACUAGUAAGAACUUUUGUACAUCUUUUGCUAUAUAUGAAUACCAAGCUUUAACAAAAAAAAAAAAAACCGAUCCUAAGCAGCAGCCGCAAUUGACCUAAAAAAGACUCUAGAGAUCAGCAGCUAGAUCAAAAAGACCCUAAGACCUAAAAGUAAACUCCACCGCCGUUGUUUCUUCUUCAGGAGAUGAGACGCACAAAAUGAAAAUUCCUGGAGACACCAAAAAGCUUCAGCCAUGGCUUCUUCUUCUUGACAAUAAGCGAUCCUAGAGAAAGAGAACACUUUUUCCGGCGCUCACCCCUCAGCCCUCUCUCUCUCUCUCAGUUGAUUUUCAGCGUCAUUUGUCUACUGCAGUUGGUCACCGGCGAUGCCCAGGCAACCACGGUGACUUCUAUCAUCUAUUCUCUUUGACGAGCUCCACUGGUUGGAGAAAUCAACACUUCUCGUCAGAGUUUGGCUGAAAACUUUCAAAUCUGGUAGUGAAGUUUUGAACGCUGAUCUGUUUGGAUUUUACUCCCGGCGUCCAAUGCCCUUUUCCGGCGACCACCAUUUGAAACGAUAGACCUCAUUUUUUUCUAUACCUUUGUUUCUUCAUUCACGUGCUGUUAUAAAUAAUAUGACUUAUAAAAAGUACUUUGUUUAGUUGAUUGGAAUUAGGUGGGUUUGGCCGGAUUUGCUAUUUUUUGGUGGACUCCAUCAAACUCAGUUGAAAACCCGCUGAUAAACUGCUGAAAACCAGCCUCCAAUUUGUCACAAAAUAUCCCCCAUAAUUAGUUGUAUUUUCUUGAGAUCGAGGUCAUUUCGAAGUUGCCGUUUGAGGUCUUCGGUCGUUGCUUUCGUUUGUUGUCGCCGGCAAGCACUCCGAUCAACAAUUUUCCGGUUGUUAAGCUCGUGUAAUUACAACACAAAUAAUCUGUAUAAAAGGUCACUCUUUUUGUCCUCUUCGUUGCUUGUUUCAUUCAUUGACUUUGUUAAUCGAUUUUGUGUAUUUAUUUGACGGCAUGACAUUUUAGUACAUUUUAUUGAGCUUGGAUCUCUGAAUCUUGUUUUUUCUUUGUUCCAUGAGAUUAUGGUUUGGAGUUUGUUGCUAUCUUAUUUUGUUCGAAAAGCCCAAAUGGGGUUUUGGGAAUUCAAAAAUUAUAGUUGUAAUGAGUGGAUUGUUUGGGGUUUUAAGUGAGAUUAAGGUUUGGUUUUGCUAAAAUUUGCG
rnacentral:lncRNA from 1 species